rnacentral:rRNA from 1 species
AAAAAUACGCGGAGGAGGUGGUCCGGGUCGGCGUCGGCGCCGUCCGGCGCGGGCCACGGGCCCGCUUCCAAGUGCGUCUGCGCGCCGGCCACCCACGCCGGGUCCUUCAAGUGCCGCUUCCAUCACACCAACUCCCAGGGUCACGGCCACGGCCAGGGCCAGGGAAGCCGCCCUUCUUCGCCCCCUUCACCGGCCGCGGCCAACGCGGUGCCGCGGCACCCGGCCUCGCCGUCCUCGUCCUCCGGCACCGUCGCGACCCAGUGA